AUGAUCAGUGAAAUCAGGAAAGGCCAAGAGGCCCAGCUAAUCCACAAAUUGGAUCAUCCACCCCUGAAUAAUCAAGAGUUGCUGGCACAAAAGUUGGUUUCUCUCUUUGAUCAUCAGCACACUCAAAACACACCUACAUUUGCUUCUUGUGGGAGCCCUCUGGAGAAAACCUUCUUGACAGUUGCAAGUGCUCGGCGGGAGUGUCGGGAGCGCGGCGGUGCAGGCGCAGCGAUUAGGCCGGGCGCCUCGCCGGCUGACAGUCUGUCACUCCCGGGGGUUAAUCCGGCCCCCGCGGCUCCUCAGGGAGAAGCCGCCAGGACAGACGGACAGACGGACAGAUGCAGGCAGAAAGAAGCCUCACCCUCGCUCGCUCGCUCCCCAGCCAGCAGCAAAGAAGCGGUCCUGCCACGGAGGGGAGGGAGCCCCUUUCCCUGGGGGGCUGAGAUAAUCCAGAAAAUCUGCUCACGUCCCAGUAGAGAAAGUGCCGCCUUGCGCCCCUCGGGUUUCAGCACUCCAGACGUCCGCCACAAUCCUGUUACACACUGGGAAUAAGGUAAUCAGAGCUCACAGUUUUGUUGCACCCGCGACUACAGGCUCUGGGCAUAACGUGCUUUCAGUGCUGGGCCUUCCACCUUUGCACCUGCUCCAGGGAAGGUAUCACUGUCUUCAUCUCCCGUGCAUGUAGGUGGAAGAGCCCAAAUUUGAAGGCAGCGCUGGCUGGCUUCAGAGGGCUUUCUCUUCCAUUAAAAUCCAUGUUUAGCAAAGUACAGAGUAAUUGUCAGGCGUUGCAUUUAAAAUCCCCUUCCUCCACUCAUUGGAUGAUUUUCGGUAAAUUAACCUCUUUGGGUUUCAGGUUUCUUAUCUAUAAAAUGGGGAUGAUAAUAUCAACUUUAUAUCCUGUUGUGCAGGUUAAAUAAAAAGUAUAUAUUAUAUAUAAUUAUAGACUACAUAUGGCACAUAUACAAAUAUAUGUGAUAUAUAACAUAUACAUCUAGAGCUCUAUAUUACAUUUAUGUAAGUACAUUAAUAUUAUAUUUAUGGAUAUUAUAUAUAUGACAUACAUAUGACUCAAUACAAGCCUGGUGCCUAGUACACAUUCAAUAAAUAUUUGUUGAGUAAGUGAAAAAAGAACUAUAAUAGUCUUCUAGGACACCCAUUUCCUCAUAGCAGGGUUUCACCUUCAGCACUGACACUUGAAUUUGGACAUUUGGGACUGGGUAAUUCUUUGUUGUGGGGG
rnacentral:lncRNA from 1 species